rnacentral:rRNA from 1 species
CCUACGGGUGGCUGCAGUGGGGAAUAUUGGACAAUGGGGGCAACCCUGAUCCAGCCAUGCCGCGUGUGUGAAGAAGGCCCUCGGGUUGUAAAGCACUUUCAGUGAGGAAGAAUGCCUGGUGGUUAAUACCCAUCAGGAAAGACAUCACUCACAGAAGAAGCACCGGCUAACUCCGUGCCAGCAGCCGCGGUAAUACGGAGGGUGCGAGCGUUAAUCGGAAUUACUGGGCGUAAAGCGCGCGUAGGUGGCUUGAUAAGCCGGUUGUGAAAGCCCCGGGCUCAACCUGGGAACGGCAUCCGGAACUGUCAAGCUAGAGUGCAGGAGAGGAAGGUAGAAUUCCCGGUGUAGCGGUGAAAUGCGUAGAGAUCGGGAGGAAUACCAGUGGCGAAGGCGGCCUUCUGGACUGACACUGACACUGAGGUGCGAAAGCGUGGGUAGCAAACAGGAUUAGAUACCCGGGUAGUC